rnacentral:rRNA from 1 species
UACGUAGGGGGCUAGCGUUGUCCGGAAUCAUUGGGCGUAAAGAGCGUGUAGGCGGCCCGGUAAGUCCGCUGUAAAAGUCAAAGGCUCAACCUUUGAAUGUCAGUGGAUACUGCCGGGCUAGAGUCCGGAAGAGGCGAGUGGAACUCCUGGUGUAGCGGUGGAAUGCGCAGAUAUCAGGAAGAACACCAACGGCGAAGGCAGCUCGCUGGGACGGUACUGACGCUGAGACGCGAAAGCGUGGGUAGCAAACAGG